rnacentral:rRNA from 1 species
AUUGAACGCUGGCGGCAGGCCUAACACAUGCAAGUCGAGCGGAUGAAGGGAGCUUGCUCCUGGAUUCAGCGGCGGACGGGUGAGUAAUGCCUAGGAAUCUGCCUGGUAGUGGGGGAUAACGUCCGUAAACGGGCGCUAAUACCGCAUACGUCCUGAGGGAGAAAGUGGGGGAUCUUCGGACCUCACGCUAUCAGAUGAGCCUAGGUCGGAUUAGCUAGUUGGUGGGGUAAAGGCCUACCAAGGCGACGAUCCGUAACUGGUCUGAGAGGAUGAUCAGUCACACUGGAACUGAGACACGGUCCAGACUCCUACGGGAGGCAGCAGUGGGGAAUAUUGGACAAUGGGCGAAAGCCUGAUCCAGCCAUGCCGCGUGUGUGAAGAAGGUCUUCGGAUUGUAAAGCACUUUAAGGUGGGAGGAAGGGCAGUAAGUUAAUACCUUGCUGUUUUGACGUUACCAACAGAAUAAGCACCGGCUAACUUCGUG